UGGGGAAUAUUGCACAAUGGGCGCAAGCCUGAUGCAGCCAUGCCGCGUGUGUGAAGAAGGCCUUCGGGUUGUAAAGCACUUUCAGCGGGGAGGAAGGCGAUAAGGUUAAUAACCUUGUCGAUUGACGUUACCCGCAGAAGAAGCACCGGCUAACUCCGUGCCAGCAGCCGCGGUAAUACGGAGGGCGCAAGCGUUAAUCGGAAUUACUGGGCGUAAAGCGCACGCAGGCGGUCUGUCAACUCGGAUGUGAAAGCCCCGGGCUCAACCUGGGGACUGCAUUCGAAACUGAGAGGCUAUAGUCUUGUAGAGGGGGGUAGAAUUCCAGGUGUAGCGGUGAAAUGCGUAGAGAUCUGGAAGAAUACCGGUGGAGAAGGCGGCCCCCUGGACAAAGACUGACGCUCAAGUGCGAAAACGUGGGGAGCAAACGGG
rnacentral:rRNA from 1 species